CGGGGCCUAGAGUGCUUGGAGCAGCCGACCUGUCCCAGGGACAGCAGGACGGACGCUUUGAAGUCUUUUUCUAGGUGGACCACAAGCAACGCCGUUAUUUCCAGCUCACUGUACCACUCACCAUACUGUUUCUGCGUGGCUUCUUCCCCCACAAGGAGGUGUGGCCUCUGUCCCCAGAUGACAGAUGAGACAACUGGCCUCAGCAAGCAAAGACCAGAGACUGAGCCCCAAGAGGCCCUUCUCCAACACUCCUGGAGAGAAGACAGAAGGAGAAAUGGAUGGACAGGAGCUGAAGACAAAGCAGCCCUUCAUGGCUCAGACUUCUCACAAAAGAAGGCCUCUCAAUAGGCUGUGAAGACAGGGGAUAAGGGAAGCCGAUCAUUGGCACCAUGAGGCAUUUAAAUCAAAUCCAGGAAGAACUGCCAUAAGACGGCACUGGAAUGGGGAGCC